rnacentral:rRNA from 1 species
GAACGAUGGGAGCUUGCUCCCAGGCGUCGAGCGGCGGACGGGUGAGUAACGCGUAGGAAUCUACCCAGUAGCGGGGGAUAGCCCGGAGAAAUCCGGAUUAAUACCGCAUACGCCCUAAGGGGGAAAGGCCGGGAUCUAUUUAUAGACCGGUCACUAUUGGAUGAGCCUGCGUAAGAUUAGCUAGUUGGUAGGGUAAAGGCCUACCAAGGCGACGAUCUUUAGCUGGUCUGAGAGGAUGAUCAGCCACACUGGAACUGAGACACGGUCCAGACUCCUACGGGAGGCAGCAGUGGGGAAUAUUGCGCAAUGGGCGAAAGCCUGACGCAGCCAUGCCGCGUGUGUGAAGAAGGCUCUAGGGUUGUAAAGCACUUUCAAUAGGGAGGAAAAGCUAGUCGUUAAUAGCGGCUAGCCGUGACGUUACCUAUAGAAGAAGCACCGGCUAACUCCGUGCCAGCAGCCGCGGUAAU